AGUGAACGCUGGCGGUAGGCCUAACACAUGCAAGUCGAACGGCAGCACAGUAAGAGCUUGCUCUUACGGGUGGCGAGUGGCGGACGGGUGAGGAAUACAUCGGAAUCUACUUUUUCGUGGGGGAUAACGUAGGGAAACUUACGCUAAUACCGCAUACGACCUACGGGUGAAAGCAGGGGAUCUUCGGACCUUGCGCGAUUGAAUGAGCCGAUGUCGGAUUAGCUAGUUGGCGGGGUAAAGGCCCACCAAGGCGACGAUCCGUAGCUGGUCUGAGAGGAUGAUCAGCCACACUGGAGCUGAGACACGGUCCAGACUCCUACGGGAGGCAGCAGUGGGGAAUAUUGGACAAUGGGCGCAAGCCUGACCCAGCCAUACCGCGUGGGUGAAGAAGGCCUUCGGGUUGUAAAGCCCUUUUGUUGGGAAAGAAAAGCAGCAGGUUAAUACCCCGCUGUUCUGACGGUACCCAAAGAAUAAGCACCGGCUAACUUCGUG
rnacentral:rRNA from 1 species